GCUCGUUGUUCCUUUUUCCUAUGCAUAUACCUCUUUGAGACGUAGCUGUAAAGAGGUAUACGGCAUGGGAAAAUGGGGCUGCAGAGGUA
ensembl:miRNA mir202 microRNA 202